CGUGCCUAAUACAUGCAAGUCGAACGGUCUUUCUAUGGAAGCUUGCUUCCACUGAGAAGAUAGUGGCGAACGGGUGAGUAACACGUGGGUAACCUGCCCAUAAGAGGGGGAUAACAUCCGGAAACGGGUGCUAAUACCGCAUAGUUUUCUUGAUCGCAUGAUUGAGAAAGGAAAGACGGCCUUUGUGCUGUCGCUUAUGGAUGGACCCGCGGCGUAUUAGUUAGUUGGUGAGGUAGCGGCUCACCAAGACGAUGAUACGUAGCCGACCUGAGAGGGUGAUCGGCCACAUUGGGACUGAGACACGGCCCAAACUCCUACGGGAGGCAGCAGUAGGGAAUCUUCCGCAAUGGACGAAAGUCUGACGGAGCAACGCCGCGUGAGUGAAGAAAGGUUUUCGGAUCGUAAAACUCUGUUGUCAGAGAAGAACAAGUUGGAGAGUAACUGCUCCAGCCUUGACGGUAUCUGACCAGAAAGCCACGGCUAACUACGUGCCAGCCGCAGC
rnacentral:rRNA from 1 species